GGUGGCUCAGUGGUAGAGUGCUUGCUUUGCAUGCAUGAGUCCUUAAGUUCAAUUCCUCAGCACCA
rnacentral:tRNA from 1 species